UUACCCUCAACUGUUAGCAGUUGCGAGGGUAAUCAUGUCCGCAUAUAUACCGCGCGCUUCCCGGCACACAACGCGGAAGAUUAAACUCUGCUCUUGUGGUCCACAGUUUGGUGACAUCAGCUAAUGCAGACCUAUGGGGCACAAAGGGGUGAGUCCAAUUUCAUAAUUCAUAUAAUAGUCUAAUUAAAAGGAAGUAAAGUUUGAAAGUGACCUUGAGCCAUUUCAUGCACAUGAUUGUAUAAUUAUAUUAUGUUUGUUCUUUUAUAUAAGUAAAGCCAAUUACUUUUACCUUUCUCUUGUCUCCUGUGGAUGCUGACACACAUCCCCACCUCCUUAUCGAAUCUGGACCACUGUGUAGCAGUUUAUAACCUGCAAGUCCUCAGUUGCACAUUGCUGCAGCAUCACUGGUUAGUGUAUAUUUUACCUUCUAUUUGUCCCCGGCAAUAAAAGCUUUCUCAUAUGUUCUGUGACUUAUAGAGACUAGUGAUUUUGAAAAUGGUGGUGCUAUAGAAGAACAAGAGGAAUUCAACUUGGAAGCUGACAUUCAACUCGACCUCGAAUCAGAGGAGAUCUUCACAGCGUAGCAUGAAUUCUUCAGAGUAAAGACUGCUUUACUGGAAAACUUUGGACAGCUUGAUAAUACAUUUGAAUCUGAUUGAGGUACGGAAUUUGUCCCUUUACUGUACAAUAUACUUGAAAAUUUGAAUAAAUGCCUCACAGUGAACAUAAAGUUGGUUAGAAAAUUGUAUGAUAGAUAUGGUGCAGAACCGACCGAAAUGCAGUUCAGAUACAGAGCCUAAAAAAAUGAGAACCGAAAAUACUCCAUUACUCUAUAAUUUGUGUUAUGAUGGAAACCAGAGUUCUUCAAAUGGUCUGUUACAUUAUGAUCCGUACACAACUCUGAACCCAUGUGUAACUGAAGCGAUCAACCGGCUGAAUGAAAGUUUAAUUCCAUCACACCAGGUUGUUAGUCAAGAGAGCACUAUUCAGAGUCCAAAUUACAACAUAACAAACACACCAGUGAUGCCAUACGACAUAUUUUCUAAAUUAAAUCAAUGUCUGUUAGCGUUACAAUUAACUUAAAUAAACACGGUCAUUUCGUACAAUUAAACAAUGAUGCAGUCAACCAGUUGAAUGAAAAUAUAAGAUCGUCAGAUCAGAGCAAUACUCAAUGAUAAUCCCAGCCGAAAUUCCAGCCAAACUGUAUCAAGAACCCCAGUGACAUCGUACGACAUAUUUUUCAAAUUAAAUCAAUGUCUGUUAGUUACAAAAUAACCUAAAUGAACAAAGACAAUUUAUGCAGAUACAUCCUUGUUUAAUAGAUGCAGUGAAUCAACUCAAUGAAAAUAUGGCAUUAUCUCCUGAUCACAAUAUCAUCUCAACUCCAGAAAUCGCUCAGGAACCUAGACCGUUAUCGUCCCAUGAUAUGUUAUACGAACUUAAUCAAAGUCUUAUGAGGAUAAAUGACAGUCUGGUUAACUUAAUCGAAUCCCCUGCCAAUAUUCCACAAAAUUCGGGAAACGAUAAUGAGUCCAACUGUCCAAUGGAAAACAUGGAAUUGCCUGAUAUCCAAGAUGUGCACGAUGGUGAUGGGUUAGAUCCUAAUAUUAGAAUAAUUAAGCAUGAAAGAUUCAGCAACACUGAGAUUAGGAGGAGAGUGAAUUUUUCUUUGAUCGCUAAUGUCAACAGCUUUUGCAGAUUUUUAUAAUUAUGUUUUAGAGAUUUUAAACAGCGGGAUUGAAAUCGCUAAUAAUUUAAUUACUUCUGAGGAUGUCGUCACCUUUUUAAAUCAGGUGAUACGAUCAAUGUUUCAUCACACGUUCAACUAGACAAUGGUGUCAUUGAUUUGCAUUCUUUUCUGACAAUGUUUGUAAAUGCAAUUUAGAGUAAACGCAAAAUUUUUAAGGAUAAUACUCUUGAAAUAGUCAUACAAAUCGUUCGACCACCUCGGGGUGGUGCAAUUAGAAGGAAAACAGGCCAUACAGUGCAUCCGGAAAGUAUUCACAGCACUUCACUUUUUCCACAUUCGUUACGUUACAUCCUUUUUCCAAAAUGGAUUAAAUUCAUUAUUUUCCUCAAAAUUCUACAAACAAUACUCCAUAAUGACAACAUGAUAGAGGUUUGUUUGAAAUUUUAGCAAAUUUAUUAAAAAUAUAAAACAAAAAAAAGCACAUGUACAUAAGUAUUCACAGCCUUUUCCAUGACACUCAAAAUUGAGCUCAGGUGCAUCCUGUUUCCACUGAUCAUCCUUAAGAUGUUUAUACAACUUGAUUGGAGUCCAUCUGUGGUAAAUUCAGGUGACCAAAAACCUAAUGGUCACUCUGACAGAGCUCCAGCAUGUCUCUGUGGAGAGAGGAGAACCUUCCAGAAGAACAACCAUCUCUGCAGCACUAAACCAAUCAGGCCUGUAUGGUAGAGUGGCCAGACGGAAGCCACUCCUCAGUAAAAGGCACAUGAUUGCCCACCUGGAGUUUGGCAAAAGGCACCUGAAGGACUCUCAGACCAAGACAAAGAUUGAACUCUUUGGCCUGAAUGGCAAGUGUCAUGUCUGGAGGAAACCAGGCACCAGUCAUCACCUGGACAAUACCAUCCCUACAGUGAAGCAUGGUGAUGGCAGCAUCAUGUUGUGGGGAUGUUUUUCAGCGGCAGGAACUGGGAGACUAGUCAGGAUCGACGGAAAGAUAAAUGCAGCAAUGUACAGAGACAUCCUUGAUGAAAACCUGUUCCAGAGUGCUCUGUACCUCAGACUGGUGUGAAGGUUCAUCUUCCACCAGGACAAUGACCCUAAGCACACA